UGUAAUUAUACCAAUAACUUCGCCU
rnacentral:piRNA from 1 species